AUACUUACCUGGCGUGGAGGUCAACCGUGAUCAAAUAGGCGGUUCCUUCAGGGCGAGGUCGACUCAUUGCACAUCGAGGCGAUUGACCCCUGCGAGUAUCCCUAAUGUGGAUACCUCGGGCGCAGAAUUUUUGUUAGCUGGGACUGCGUACGCGCCGUCCCUU
rnacentral:snRNA from 1 species